GUAUUUGGUUAUUUAAAAGAAGAGGGGGAGGUAAAACGUAAGAAGGCCAGAGCACCUGGGACCUUGUUUUACUAAAGCUUAUUAUGUUUCAGUGGCCCUGGUUCCCCAUGACAAAAGUACAAAGAGUACCCGCAAGAAGUAAGUUGAAGAUAAGGAGUGAGGAGAAGGAAGGUUAGUGGUAAGGCCACCAGUGAUUCUAACAGCAAAGGGACAAGAAAAAAGACUGGAACUUUAUUUAGAGGAUAAAGCUGAUGCUUGGCUUGCCCUCUUGCCCAGAUGGGACCUCAGGCAUAGGUUCCUAACUGUGAAUAUCCUGAUUUUGAAGAAAACAAUAGAUUAAUUGCAACUGCUGGCAGCUUUCACUUGACCUUGCAAAGGUUACAAUUAUCCAGAAAUCUCAUACCUAUGAGGGAAGCCAACUUCUGUGUCAUGAGGACAUUCAAGCAGCACUAUGGAGCCGUCCACGUGGCUAGGAGCUGAAACUGAGCCAAGAAGCAGUGAGGAACUGGCUGGUAACAGCCAUGUGGGAAGAAAUUGUGUUUUGGAAUUGGGCCAACAGUAUGUGUUUCUCCGGUGGAUAAGCAAAAUUUCAUAAGAACAAAGAUGAUUCAAGCAGAUGUUUAUCAUGAAACUGCCAUAAAAAGCACCCGAAGUCACAAAGAUAAACAUCAAAUCCAGUCUUUGGAAAUUCCCCCACCCUACCUGAGCAUCUUUUGAAGUAGAUAUUCAAUUAUUUUGAGGAUUUUUAAAGAAUUUUCUGGAUUUCAUCUAAAAGACACUUUUGAAAUCUUCGUUAAAAUUCAUGGAAAUAUAUCCUAGAUGAAUUUGGAGGAAUGUAAGCAAGUAGGUGCAAACCUUUAUUUUAUCCCUCAGUGACUCACUCAGUUGUGAAUAGGAAGGGCUCUCUGUGAUCUGGCCACAGCUUAUUUCUUGCCACAUUCCUAUUUUCAGUCUUCUUCCAAUCAUGUGGAACUUCCAGCAUCUCCUUACACAUGCCAUUUUAUUUCACACUUUUGUGACUUUGCUCAUAUUUUUCUCUCUCCCUGGAAAGCUCCCCGACAACCUCCACUGCCAUUACCCACUAGGCAAGUACAUCCUGUUUUCAGAAUCAGCCCAAUAUCAUCUUUCCUAGGGAAUCUUGUCAGACUGCCCUUCAUUACCAACAGACAAAAUAACUACCUUAUCUUUGGUUCUGUCUUCACUCUAGACCUAUGUAGCAUGCUACUUAUAACACUGCAUUGGUUUGUUGGCAUUUGUAUUUUCCACUGAGCAACCAUAACUUAUGUGUAGACAAAAAUUGUAUUGCUCACCUUUGGAUUACUAGGACCUAGCAGUGUUGUGAUUCAGAGUAUGUACUCAAUAAAUUCAUCUUGAAAAGUGAAUGAAUGAAUAAAUGAACACCUGUAUCUCCAUCAUUGAUUUACUAUUUAAUCAGUGAAGUUUUUAAAUUAUAUUCUCCCAUAUCUUGAGAUUUGAUCUUGUGUUAAAUCAGUUGCACAUAUUAGACAUUACUUUGUCCUUUUCACUUCUCCUUAGCACAUAUGGGCUAUAUAAUCUUUAUAAAGGUUAAAGAAAUAUAUUGUAAUAUGUUAUAACACAAUCAAGAUACAUCUGAAACAACAUAGUGCAGGCACUAUUUCCGAUGUUCAACAUCAUGCUGGAGUAAAACUUAGAGAAUCUUGGAAAAAAGAAAUACUUAAAUAAUGUCACCAGUGUAAUGUGCUACAUUGUAAUGGUGUUAUGCUUAUUACAUGUGUUAUCUAGUAACGCACAAAAAGCCUAACGGAUUUGCUCAUAUUUUCCUCAUGUGCAAAUGAAAACACUGAGUCUCAGAGAGAUUAAAUAAAUUGCCAAAUGUCAUGUCAAGCGAUUUUGAUCCUGGUAUUUCUAAUAUAAAAGCCCAUGUUUUAAUUUAUUAACUGUUUGACAUAUAACAAUAAUAGAUCAUUACAUGUUAAUAUAAAUAACCUAUGUAUGAAGACUAAUUAUAUUUUUACUUCUGCAUUCAAUCAACUGCAACAUGUCAUUUUGGUUGAUGUAUACAGAAAAUACUCAACAUCUCGCAGAUAUUGGGUUGGAAAACAGAGGACAUUUUUAUAUCUGUUUCAGAUAAAUGUAUAUAUUUUUCUUUGAUAGUACACCAAAAUUUGACAAGUGACUAUUUCUUAAAGGGUAGUUGCAGCAUGAAAUCCAAAAUAACAUCAAUAAACUUUUCAUUCUCUGUUACACUAAAA